GAUGAAGAACGUAGCGAAAUGCGAUAAGUAAUGUGAAUUGCAGAAUUCAGUGAAUCAUCGAAUCUUUGAACGCACAUUGCGCCCGCCAGUAUUCUGGCGGGCAUGCCUGUUCGAGCGUCAUUUCAACCAUCAAGCCCCCGGCUUGUGUUGGGGACCUGCGGCUGCCGCAGGCCCCGAAAACCAGUGGCGGGCUCGCUAGUCACUCCGAGCGUAGUAGUUACAUCUCGCUCAGGGCGUGCUGCGGGUUCCGGCCGUUAAAAGCCUUAUUUACCCAAGGUUGACCUCGGAUCAGGUAGGAAGACCCGCUGAACUUAAGCAUAUCAAUAAGCGGAGGA
rnacentral:misc_RNA from 1 species